CCUACGGGUGGCAGCAGUGAGGAAUAUUGGUCAAUGGCCGCAAGCCUGAACCAGCCAAGUCGCGUGAAGGAUGACUGCCCUACGGGUUGUAAACUUCUUUUAUAAGGGAAUAAAGUAAGCCACGUGUACCUUUUUGUAUGUACUUUAUGAAUAAGGAUCGGCUAACUCCGUGCCAGCAGCCGCGGUAAUACGGAGGAUUCGAGCGUUAUCCGGAUUUAUUGGGUUUAAAGGGUGCGUAGAUGGUUUUUUAAGUUAGUUGUGAAAGUUUGCGGCUUAAACUUAAAUUUGCAAUUGAUACUGGAAGACUCGAGUUCAGUCGAGGUAGGCGGAAUACGUGAAGUAGCGGUGAAAUGCUUAGAUAUAACGUAGAACUCCGAUAGCGAAGGCAGCUUACUAGACUGCGACUGACGCUGAAGCACGAGAGCGUGGGUAGCAAACAGGAUUAGAUACCCGUGUAGUC
rnacentral:rRNA from 1 species